rnacentral:rRNA from 1 species
UACGAAGGGUGCAAGCGUUAUUCGGAAUCAUUGGGCGUAAAGCGCGUGUAGGCGGCUUGUUAAGUCGGUUGUGAAAACCCAUGGCUCAACCAUGGAAGGGCGUCCGAAACUGGCAAGCUAGAGUCCCGACGAGGAUGGCGGAAUUCCCAGUGUAGAGGUGAAAUUCGUAGAUAUUGGGAGGAACACCGGUGGCGAAGGCGGCCAUCUGGGAGGGCACUGACGCUGAGACGCGAAAGCGUGGGGAGCAAACAGG